UGCAGUCGAGGGAGAAGCUAUCUUCGGAUAGUGGAGACCGGCAGACGGGUGAGUAACACGUGGGAACAUACCGAGUAGUGGGGGAUAACAGUUGGAAACGACUGCUAAUACCGCAUACGCCCUUCGGGGGAAAGAUUUAUCGCUAUUCGAUUGGCCCGCGUUAGAUUAGCUAGUUGGUAAGGUAACGGCUUACCAAGGCGACGAUCUAUAGCUGGUUUGAGAGGAUGAUCAGCCACACUGGGACUGAGACACGGCCCAGACUCCUACGGGAGGCAGCAGUGGGGAAUAUUGCGCAAUGGAGGAAACUCUGACGCAGCCAUGCCGCGUGAGUGAAGAAGGCCUUAGGGUUGUAAAGCUCUUUCAGACGUGAUGAUGAUGACAGUAGCGUCAAAAGAAGUUCCGGCUAACUUCGUGCCAGCAGCCGCGGUAAUACGAAGGGAACUAGCGUUGUUCGGAUUUACUGGGCGUAAAGAGCAUGUAGGCGGAUUGGACAGUUGAGGGUGAAAUCCCAGAGCUCAACUCUGGAACGGCCUUCAAUACUUCCAGUCUAGAGUCCGUAAGGGGGUGGUGGAAUUCCGAGUGUAGAGGUGAAAUUCGUAGAUAUUCGGAGGAACACCAGUGGCGAA
rnacentral:rRNA from 1 species